rnacentral:rRNA from 1 species
GGACUACAAGGGUAUCUAAUCCUGUUUGCUCCCCACGCUUUCGCGCCUUAGCGUCAGUAUCGAGCCAGAAAGUCGCCUUCGCCACUGGUGUUCUUACGAAUAUCUACGAAUUUCACCUCUACACUCGUAAUUCCACUUUCCUCUCUCGAUCUCAAGCCCUACAGUUUCAAAUGCACCUCCCAGGUUAAGCCCGGGGCUUUCACAUCUGACUUAUAGGACCGCCUACGCGCCCUUUACGCCCAGUAAUUCCGAACAACGCUAGCUCCCCUCGUAUUACCGCGGCUGCUGGCAC